CCAAGAGAGAGAGAGAGAAACACCUUCCUCAUCCUUUCCUCAGUCUCGGCCAACUACCAACGAACCAACCAAAUCCAAUCCCACGGACAUCCCGAGGCCCACGCGUCCAUCCCAUCACCCCGCACGGAAUCCGACCCGAAAUAUCCACCGGAACCGCCGCCAUGCGGCUGAUAGUGCCACUCCAAGGCGUGGUCCAAGGCCGAGGAGGCCUCAUCUGGGGCUCUCUCAUCCCCUGCGCCCUCUUCUACUUCCUCCAGCUCUACCUCAAACGACGCCGUCCUCCUUCUCCCUCCUCCAACCCUCCGUCGCCGUCGCAGUCCUUCUCCGACCUCCAGAGGUCCUCCUCGCGCUCCAACUUGUCCACCCGCGGCUCCAUUGGCCGCGUCCGGAUUUCUUCCCGCGCCUCCUCCAUCGCCAAACCCAACGACUCGCCGUAUUACGUUGGUCUGGAUAAGGCUAAGCUGGAUCCGUACGAUCGGUUCGGUAACCCUAAUGGAGUUAUUCAUCUCGGUUUGGCCGAGAACAGGCUGUGUUUUGACCUUAUUGAGAAAUGGAUUUCUGAGAAUUUGAGCAAUUUGGUAAUGGGAAUCAACGGUGGGGAUUUGAAUAUCAGCGGCAUUGCUGGAUACCAGCCGUUCGAUGGAUUGAUUGAACUAAGAGUGGCUAUUGCAGAUUUCAUGUCUCGGGUUACGCGAAGAUCGGUCACGUUCGACCCGUCGCAGAUUGUAUUGAUGGCUGGUGCAACUCCUGCAAUUGAGAUGUUAAGCUUCUGCGUGGCAGACAGUGGAAAUGCACUUCUUGUUCCCACACCUUACUAUCCUGGUUUUGACAGGGAUAUUAGAUGGCGAACUGGUGUGGAGCUAAUUCCUGUCCACUGUCGUAGCACUGACAACUUCGCUUUGAACAUGACCGUGCUUGAUCAAGCAUUCAAUCAGGCAAGAAAGCGAGUAAAAGUUCGCGGAGUACUUAUUUCUAACCCUACAAAUCCUGUUGGUAAUGUGUUGCCACGGGAAACACUGUGUAGUGUUUUAGAUUUUGCCCAGGAGAAGAACAUACAUGUCAUAUGUGACGAAAUCUUUGCGGGGUCUGUGCAUGGACAUGAGGGUUUUGUGAGUAUUGCAGAAGUUAUUGAGAUUGAGAAUUUUGACAAGAGUAGGGUUCACAUAGUGUACGGGCUGUCAAAAGACCUAUCAAUUCCAGGAUUUAGAGUUGGUGUUCUUUAUUCCUAUAAUGAGAGUGUCUUGGCUGCAGCUAGAAGGUUAACAAGAUUUACAUCUAUUUCUGCUCUGGCUCAGCGUCUUUUGGUAUCGAUGCUUUCUGAUGCGAAAUUCAUUGAGGAAUACAUGGAAAUCAACAAACAAAGGAUGCGAAAUAUGUAUGAUUUAUUUGUGGAAGGCUUGGAAUUGGUAGGAAUCAGAUGCGCAAAGAGUAGUGCUGGUUUUUAUUGUUGGGCUGAUAUGAGUGAAUUGAUUUCAUCGUACAGUGAGAAAGGGGAACUUGAGUUAUGGGAUAAGCUCCUGAAUGUUUCUAAGAUCAAUGUAACUCCUGGGUCAGCUUGCCACUGCAUAGAACCAGGGUGGUUCCGGUGUUGUUUUACUAUGAUGACUCAAGAGGAUAUUCCUGUAGUUAUAGCUCGGAUUCGAAGAAUUGCUGAAACUAGUAAAUCUCACAGUUGAAGACUUGAAGUACUCGGUUCUUCAAUUUUAUCGGGUUCAAUCCUUUUGCUUGCGGCGUUGUUUUGUGCCUAAGAUUUGGGUGGCAAAUCUACCUAUUUGUAAGGGUAACAAGCUUGGACACCAGGUAGCUCAACUUGGUCCCAAGUUUCCAAGGCCAAUGUGGCCUUCAUUCAAGUGACACACUUUUGAACACAUUUCAAACAUUUUUGACUUCAUCUACAUCAAGUCCGAGUAGCAGAAAACUUAAACGACUGUGAGGGAGGACAAAUGGAGAACAUAUCAAUUUGAAACUUCCAACGGAGCUUUUGUUUUUACCACAUGAGUUUCAGUCGUGGCAAUUUCUUUCUCUUGCCAUGAAAUCCAUCUAACAUUUUGAUGCCAUUUGCGAAUAUGCAGCACCCAAAAGCUCUUCCCUUCAUGAAUUCCUGUCAAUGUUGCAUCCAGGCAAGUAUAUCAAUUGCUCAAUAUUACCUUUGCAAAAUAACCGAUUAUUAGGUAUUCAAAAGUCCGUCCAUUAUAGUCAUUGUAGUGUUAGAAUUUGAUUUAUUAUUCUUUGUACAGUAGCAUUAAAACCAAAUAUAGUUUCCCAUAAUUUGUAAUAAUGGA